GAUGAACGCUGGCGGCGUGCCUAAUACAUGCAAGUCGAGCGAACAGACGAGGAGCUUGCUCCUCUGACGUUAGCGGCGGACGGGUGAGUAACACGUGUAUAAUCUACCUAUAAGACUGGUAUAACUUCGGGAAACCGGAGCUAAUACCGGAUAAGCUAUUGAACCGCAUGGGUGAAUAGUGAGAUACGGUGGUGCUGUCACUUAUAGAUGGAUCCCCGCCGCAUUAGGUAGUUGGUAAGGUAACAGCCUACCAAGGCAACUAUGCGUAGCCGAAGUGAGAGACUGGUAGGCCACCCGGGAGGUGGAACGGGGACAAUGCGACUACGGGACGGCGCAGUCGGCAACGUUACGCAACAGGCGAAAGUCUGGCGGAGCAGCGGCGCGUGAGAGAUGGAGGUCUCCCGAGCGUAAUACUGUGUUAUUAGGGAAGAACCAAUGUGUACGUAGCUAUGCACGGCUUGACGGUAACUAAUCAGAAAGCCCCGGCUAACUACGUG
rnacentral:rRNA from 1 species